rnacentral:rRNA from 1 species
UGGGGAAUCUUGCGCAAUGGGCGAAAGCCUGACGCAGCAACGCCGCGUGCGGGAUGAAGGCCUUCGGGCUGUAAACCGCUUUCCGCAGGAACGAAAAUGACGGUACCUGCCGAAGAAGGAGCGGCCAACUACGUGCCAGCAGCCGCGGUGCCACGUAGGCUCCCAGCGUUGUCCGGAUUUAUUGGGCGUAAAGUGCUCGUCGGCGGUUUCGUCAGUAGGUUGUUCAAACUUGUGGCUUACGCCGGGGGA